rnacentral:lncRNA from 1 species
GUUAAUCUUCCAGAUAAGAUAGUGAUAUGUGGCCUAGUUGUUGGGAAAAUUUGCAAAUAUGAAUUUUGACUUCAUUUGCAAAAUCUCGCGAGAAUUUGUAAAAAUGGGCAUAACUUUUGCAUACUAACUCGGAUGACAAAGUUUUUUAUAUGAAAAAUCAUCUACUCGAAAAGUUACAUCCAAAUUUAACGGGGGAAACCCCGUUAAACAUUUCCAAAAUCCUCAAAAACCUAACAGAAAAAAGAUACGGGGCUUUUAAGAUCUAGAGAGGCAAAAAAAAUCAAAAAAUUCAAACUUACUAAUGGCGCACCUGCCCAUGGUGCGCCAUUAGUAUCUUCCCUCCUUCAAAUUUCAGAAUAAGUCAAAAAAAUAAAAAAAAUUACUAAUGGCGCACCUGACCAUGGUGCGCCAUUAGUAUCUUCCCGCCUUCAAAAUUCAAAAUGAAUCAAAAAAAUAAAAAAAAUUACUAAUGGCGCACCUGACCGUGGUGCGCCAUUAGUAUCUUCCCUCCUUACCUCCCCUCGUAGUUGAGGGAAAAAUCUUGGUUCUUUCAUCUUUCAAGUUCCUCAUAGUGAUCAAUAGAUAUAAAUCCCAAGUGACUCAAAGAAUAGAGCUAUGCUCCCCGGCGAUGGCGCCAGAAAAAGCUCUUGAUAACCCACAAGUAUAGGGGAUCACAAUAGUUUUUGAGGGUAGAGUAUUCAACCCAAAUUUAUUGAUUCGACACAAGGGGAGCCAAAGAAUAUUCUCAAGUAUUAGCAGCUGAGUUGUCAAUUCAACCACACUUGAAAGACUUAAUAUCUGCAGCAAAGUAUUUAGUAUCAAAGUAGUAUGGAAGUAACGGUAACAGUGGCAAAAGUAACAGUAGCAGUUUUGUAGCAAUCAUAACAGUGGCAACGGAGAAGUAACUUAGCAAAGAUAAAUAUGUGAAAAGCUCGUAGGCAAUGGAUCAAUGAUGGAUAAUUCUGUCGGAUGGCAUUCAUCAUUCAACAGUUAUAACAUAGGGUGACAUAGAACUAGCUCCAAUUCAUCAAUGUAAUGUAGGCAUGUAUUCCGAAUAUAGUCAUAUGUGCUUAUGGAAAAGAACUUGCAUGGCAUCUUUUGUCCUACCCUCCCGUGGAAGCAGGGUCCUAUUGGAAACAAAGGGAUAUCAAGGCCUACUUUUAAUAGAGUACCGGACCAAAGCAUUAGCACUUAGUGAAUACACGAACUCCUCAAACUACGAUCAUCACCGGGAAGUGUCCCAACUAUUGUCACUUUGGGGUUUGCCGGAUCAUAACACGUAGUAGGUGACUAUUAACUUGCAAUAUAGGAUCAAGAACUCAGAUAUAUUCAUGAAAACAUAAUAGUUUCAGAUAUGAAAUCAUGGCACUCGGGCCCUAGUGACAGGCAUUAAGCAUGGCAAAGUCAUAGCAACAUCAAUAUUAGAACAUAAUGGAUACUAGGGAUCAAACCCUAACAAAACUAACUCAAUUACAUGGUAAAUCUCAUCCAACCCAUCACUAUCCAGCAAGCCUGCGAUGGGAUUAGUCACACACGGUGGUGAGCAUCAUGAAAUUGGUGAUGGAGGCUGGUUGAUGAUGACGAUGGAGACGGGUUCCCCUCUCUGAAGCCCCGAACGGACACCAGAACAGCCCUCCCAAGGAAGAUUAGGGCUUGGCGGCGGCUCCGUAUCGUAAAACACAAUGAAUCUUUCUCUCUGAUUUUUUAUCCCCGAACGUGAAUAUAUGGAGUUGGAGUUGAGGUCGGUGGAGGUCCAGGGGACCCACGAGGCAGGGGGGCGCGCCCCAGGGGAGUGGGCGCGUCCUGCACCCUCGUGGACAGGGUGUGGGCCCCCUUACAUUGAUUCUUUCGCCAAUAUUUUUUAUUAGUUCCAAAACGUGACUCCAUGGAUUUCCAGGUCAUUCCGAGAACUUUUAUUUCUGCACAAAAAUAACACCAUGGCAAUUCUGCUGAAAACAGCGUCAGUCCGGGUUAGUUCCAUUCAAAUCAUGCAAGUUAGAGUCCAAAACAAGGGCAAAAGUGUUCGGAAAAGUAGAUACGUUGGAGAUGUAUCAUACUGCAAUCGCUUGAAUCAAGUGGGAGUUAAUCUUCCAGAUAAGAUAGUGAUAUGUGGCCUAGUUGUUGGGAAAAUUUGCAAAUAUGAAUUUUGACUUCAUUUGCAAAAUCUCGCGAGAAUUUGUAAAAAUGGGCAUAACUUUUGCAUACUAACUCGGAUGAAAAAGUUUCUUAUAUGAAAAAUCAUCUACUCGAAAAGUUACAUCCAAUUUUAACGGGGGAAACCCCGUUAAACAUUUCCAAAAUCCUCAAAAACCUAACAGAAAAAAGAUACGGGGCUUUUAAGAUCUAGAGAGGCAAAAAAAAUCAAAAAAA